ACAACAAAGAGAGGGUAUUUCGAAUCCUAUCUCGUCUCCAUCAAUAAAGUCUCGAUCUUGCAAAAACCCCAACAACAAUCAGUGAGGAAGAAAUUCGAGGGAUUAUCGGAUUUAAGAUACUGAGCAGAAUUCACAGGCAAAUGGGUCACUAAAAUUUUCUGCUUCUCGUGGAUCAGAGCAACACCAUGGAAGUAGUUGGAGUUAUAAGAAGCAGAGUGAUAUUUGCGGAGCAGCAGUUGUGUCUUCAAGACAGGAACUUCCUUUGUUGUCUGUGUUUGAUUCGUUGUCUUGUCCAAACCCAAUUCUCCACCCUUUUUAAAGAUCUAGAAGAAGGCCGAUGUUGGAAACUCCGAUAUGCUGCAAAUUCAGAGAUCGAGCAUCAAAUGCUGGAGUUGGCCCGGGCAGCUUUUGUUGGUGAUGGAUGGGGAGGAAAAUGGAUCUCAGAGUAGUUCUCUUAGUCAUCAAUAACUCAAGAUAGCUCAUCAGAGAACUCAAAACCUCAAGGCCGGAUCCCUUACCCGCUCGCUAUCUAUAGCUCUCAUACUACUAAGCUGUGGUUUGGAUUGUGGUCUCAUAGAUGUGGUUUUUUGUUGCUAUACCUUUUUUAUCGCUGCUUCCUUGGCCAUGAAAUGCGAGAAAACACGGUUCAAUGGGAGCUUUAUCUCUGACGACUAUAUCUUGUCAGUUGUUACCGGGAAGAUUUUUCGACCUGUACCUUCUCAGGUUCUAAACAAGUUUCGAUUAGGCUCUCAACCCCGCUCGAGAAACCUGUACGAGGAGGAAUAAUGACUGUUGUUCCUGCCAACUACAGCGAAAAUUCACCUCUUUUUUCUUGCAGGUUGGCUACUUGAGAGGAGCUCUGUUCCUGGUUUUCGCGGCGGCCACAUUCUUCGGAUUCUUCCACGUUACCUGAGACGAUAACCGGAAGAUUCCGGCUAAGAAGCUCCGGCGAAAAAUGACUGAACUCCAGAGAUUCACAAGCCUCGGAAUUGUUGGAUCUCUUUAGUUCUCCGUCCGUACAAAACAUGGGCAACGAACAAAACCGCCCAUUGUGGUUUUCGUUUCAGAUUUCAGUGGAUUGAAAUUUCAGAUUCUGUUGUAUCAGAGAAUAUAGAAAGAAAUGAUUUUUAUUAUGGUAAUGUUUUUUUUAAAGCUUUAGCCUUUUAAAGCUUUGAAGCGUAUAAACGGUUAUGUUCUCAAUUCA